AACUUAUCAAGAGAGGUGGAGGGAAUGGCCCUGUGAAACCCGGCAACCGGUACAAUUUGUACUAAGGUGCUAAUUCCUGCAGUUGAAUCUGCGAGAUAAGGA
rnacentral:ncRNA from 2 species